CCUUACAAAUUGGAUCAGGGUCUGAAAAACUCAGAAAUUUUCGUGUUGUCAUCAGCUUCUUCUCUUGUUUGUCCCACGAGAUUGGAGUUAAAUAACAGCACUAAAUUC